UACAGAGGUGGCAAGCGUUGUUCGGAAUUACUGGGCGUAAAGGGCGCGUAGGCGGUCUUGUAAGUCUUGUGUGAAAUCCCUCGGCUUAACUGAGGAACUGCACGGGAUACUGCGAGACUUGAGAUCGGGAGAGGGAAGCGGAAUUCCGGGUGUAGCGGUGAAAUGCGUAGAUAUCUGGAGGAACACCGGUGGCGAAGGCGGCAUCCUGGACCGACAUUGACGCUGAGGCGCGAAAGCCAGGGGAGCAAACGGG
rnacentral:rRNA from 1 species